AGCAGUGAGUUAUGGCUUGGAGUGCGAUCUUAAUUCUCAGCUCAGGAAUUGAACCUGGGUUGCCUAGAUUAAAAACCAGGAAUCCUAGUCAAUACACCAGCUAGAGGCUAGAAAGCAGUAGUGCCCUGAUUCUUGCCCUGCCCCUCCCCCCAUUGAAAGCAAGAAUGUUUCAAGGAGCAGAGAUGGUAAAAAAAACAGGUAUAGUUUAUUAUUUGAGUCCCACUACAACUUGUGGGAGAGCACAUAGAGAAGUAGUUUAAGUCAGAAGCAAAGAAGUAAUACACACCCUAAAGAGGAGUACGAGUGCCUGAACACCCUGAGUGAGGAACGCACCAGAGAGGUGAUUUAAAUCACUUACAUAGGACAGUUCUGGGUCUUUGUUUUCAUAUGGGCAGUUGCCUUGUUUUAUUUCUCAAACUUGACUGGGCACAGGACCCUCCCCAAUAUGCAUGUGCAAAGACAGAUUCCAGAGCAAAGAAUUCUGGGACGGUAUCAAGACUUCUUAUGGCCUGGGGCCCCCUCCUUUUCUGACCCCUGAGUCUUUCUUUUUUAUUAUUAUUUGUCUUUUUGCCGUUUCUAGGGCCACUCCCAUGACAUAUGGAGAUUCCCAAGCUAGGGGUCUAAUCGGAGCCGAGGCCGCCAGCCCACGCCAGAGCCACAGCAACGCGACCCCUGGAUCUUUCUGCACUCGUGUAAUGGAAGGUCUCCUUGGCCCCAGGAAUGAUCGAAGUGGUCAUCUUAUCUUUUCCCUCCAGACGAGCUCAGCUCUUGCCAUUAACUUUUUUCUUAAGGUGUCAAAGAGUAAGCCAGGCCCUGGAGUUCCCGUCGUGCCUCAGCGGUUAACGAAUCCAACUAGGAACCAUGAGGUUGCGGGUUCCGUCCCUGGCCUUGCUCAGUGGGUUAAGGAUCCAGCAUUGCCAUGAGCUGUGGUGUAGGUUUCAGACGUGGCUCGGAUCCCAUGUUGCUGUGGCUGUGGUGUAGGUGGGCAGCUACAUCUCCAAAUGGACCCUUAGCCUGGGAGACUCCAUAUGCUGUGGGUGCGGCCCUAUAAAAG
rnacentral:lncRNA from 1 species